rnacentral:misc_RNA from 1 species
GAUGAAGAACGUAGCGAAAUGCGAUAAGUAAUGUGAAUUGCAGAAUUCAGUGAAUCAUCGAAUCUUUGAACGCACAUUGCGCCCGCUAGUAUUCUGGCGGGCAUGCCUGUCCGAGCGUCAUUUCAACCCUCAAGCCCCCGGGCUUGGUGUUGGGGAUCGGCGAGCCUCCGCGCCCGCCGUCCCCUAAAUCUAGUGGCGGUCUCGCUGUAGCUUCCUCUGCGUACUAGCACACCUCGCACUGGGAAACAGCGCGGCCACGCCGUUAAACCCCCAACUUCUGAACGUUUGACCUCGGAUCAGGUAGGAAUACCCGCUGAACUUAAGCAUAUCAAUAAGCGGAGGA